rnacentral:rRNA from 1 species
CAUGGCACCACCAUAAACAUGCAGAAUCUCAUCUGAUUUUGGGAGCAAAGGUGGGUCAGAUGUGGUUAGUAUUUUGAUGGGAGACCACUAGAAAAUACCAGGGAUCUCCAGGA